rnacentral:hammerhead_ribozyme from 1 species
GUGCUGAUGAAGAGUCCCAAACUAGGACGAAACAGCUGUCCAGCAC